rnacentral:misc_RNA from 1 species
AAGGAUCAUUAAUGAGAACUUGCCCUUCGGGGUAGAUCUCCCACCCUUUGUGAACCAUUCCUUUGUUGCUUUGGCAGGCCCGUCUUCGGACCGCCGGCUUCGGCUGGCCAGCGCCUGCCAGAGGAUUUUCAAACCCUUCUGUUAGUGUUGUCUGAGUAUAAAUAAAUCAAAACUUUCAACAACGGAUCUCUUGGCUCUG